UGGGUCGACUAGGCGAUCGCGGCGGUGCAAACCGACGAGGAACGUCCGGGCUCCAAAUAGCGAAGCGGUGGGUAACACCCACUCGAGGCAACUCGCAAGAAAGUGCAACAGAAAGCAGACCGCCACACUUCGGUGCGGUAAGGGUGAAACGGUGGUGUAAGAGACCACCAGCGGCCUUGGUAACAGGGUCGGCUAGGUAAACCUCGCUUGGAGCAAGACCAGAUAGAGAGCGUUGAAGCGGCUAGCUGAGCUCUCGGGUAGGUUGCUUGAGGCACACGGUGACGUGUGCUCUAGAUAGAUGAUCGUCCACGACAGAACCCGGCGUAUCGGUCGACCCAGCCA
rnacentral:RNase_P_RNA from 1 species